rnacentral:rRNA from 1 species
GAUGAACGCUAGCUACAGGCUUAACACAUGCAAGUCGAGGGGUAACGAGAGGAAAGCUUGCUUUCCUUGUCGACGACCGGCGCACGGGUGAGUAACGCGUAUCCAACCUGCCCCCAACUAGGGAAUAACCUUGCGAAAGUAAGACUAAUACCCUAUAAUUUCCUCAGAUGACAUCUGACGAGGAAUAAAGAUUUAUCGGUUGUGGAUGGGGAUGCGUCUGAUUAGCUUGUUGGCGGGGUAACGGCCCACCAAGGCAACGAGCAGUAGGGGCUCUGAGAGGAAGGUCCCCCACAUUGGAACUGAGACACGGUCCAAACUCCUACGGGAGGCAGCAGUGAGGAAUAUUGGUCAAUGGGCGGAAGCCUGAACCAGCCAAGUAGCGUGCAGGAUGACGGCCCUAUGGGUUGUAAACUGCUUUUAUACAGGAAUAAGUUAGCCACGUGUGGUUAUUUGUAGGUACUGUAUGAAUAAGGACCGGCUAAUUCCGUGCCAGCCGCCGCAGUAA